AUCUAGCUGACGAGUCCCGAAUAGGACGAAACGCGCGUCAAACUGGAU
rnacentral:hammerhead_ribozyme from 1 species